UGAGCAGUACUGCGGCCUCCUCUCCUAACCUCGCUCUCGCGGCCUACCUUUACCCGCCCGCCUGCUCGGCGCCCAGCGGGGAUCCUCCCCCAGCCGCAAGUCCACGAAGAAAACAACGAAUGAAAAUUAUGAAGACAACGAGAAGUCAGACUCCUCCGGGUCGCGCUCCAGCUGCUUCGGCUUCGUCGCCUACUCUGUGAACUCCGGGGAGAGAUCUCGAGUCAAGAUUAAGACCUUAACCCACCAACCUGCCUGUUCGGACACCCCCCGGGCCGGCCGCUGUCUGUCCCCUUCUCCAUCGCCCUCUCCCAGAAAGCUCCGGUGCUUGGACCAGCUAGAGUCUGAGAAAGAGGAGAGGCGCGAACGCCACUCCAAAAAGAGAAGGGUUAAAGAGGGCAACCCUAACGAUACGCUUGACUUUCUGUGGCUGGGAACACCUUCCACCAUGACCACCUCAGCAAGUUCCCACUUAAAUAAAGGCAUCAAGCAGGUGUACAUGUCCCUGCCUCAGGGUGAGAAAGUCCAGGCCAUGUAUAUCUGGAUCGAUGGUACUGGAGAAGGCCUGCGCUGCAAGACCCGGACUCUGGACAGUGAGCCCAAGUGUGUGGAAGAGUUGCCUGAGUGGAAUUUCGAUGGCUCUAGUACUUUACAGUCUGAGGGUUCCAACAGUGACAUGUAUCUCGUGCCUGCUGCCAUGUUUCGGGACCCCUUCCGUAAGGACCCUAACAAGCUGGUGUUAUGUGAAGUUUUCAAGUACAAUCGAAGGCCUGCAGAGACCAAUUUGAGGCACACCUGUAAACGGAUAAUGGACAUGGUGAGCAACCAGCACCCCUGGUUUGGCAUGGAGCAGGAGUAUACCCUCAUGGGGACAGAUGGGCACCCCUUUGGUUGGCCUUCCAACGG
rnacentral:sRNA from 1 species